GACAUACUAGUAGAGGAUACACUACUGCAUUUUGUGCGCAGUUUCCGGUAAGCAGUCUAGCUGUCCCAUCAGUGUUCCCAUCCGGGCGUUAUCAACCUGUCAGCUUUUGCUCAAAGGUGCUAUGUUAAUCAAGAGCUCAGUUGGCGUUAUGUUCAGGGUUGUCCGCGUCCUUUCGGUGUUGCGGUGUAGGGUGUAGCAGAGUUUAAGGUUUUUUUUUAUAAUGCAGUUAAUAGCAACAGCAUCGUAGUUUGUACUCGAUGUCGCUUCUCAGCCGCCACAGCCCGAUCCUAGGUGAUGCAGCUUUCCAGCUCACUACGUGUCUUGUCACGUCCUUUCAAGAAAACAAGCUGCGCAACCAGAAUCCAGGUGAGUUGAAUCCAGGUGAGUUAACAUCCCGAGAGAAGAGGCUCUUCAACUACAAACUGUCUGGGAGUCAUCGUGGAGCAGGCGUUCGGUAAGCUUAAAGGUAAGCUUCGGAGGCAACAUUAGGUGGAGACCAAGUGUCCAAAAAGCCAUUGAUAUCUCGUGCGCCGCGUGUAUCCUGCAAAGCAUGUGUGUCCUGGACGACAGGACAGGAGUUCGUGAAGGCAACCCAGGACACAUUCCACCUGACCCUGGGAGUGCAGUACCACCGCGACCGAUGGGGCGAGGCGGCGCCGGAUCCUGCCGAACUGGAGGGCCCCCACCGCCAGUGCCGGUACCAGGCGUACCGGCACUUCGUGCUCUGGCAGUGAGGAGCCCUCGGUCGGGGGAACCGGCGCGCCCUGCCGGCCUGCGCCGUGACGGCCAUCAGGACCAAGUACCCGAGUCCGUCGGGGGAGUUACACGGGCUUCAAGGACGUGCCACUACAGACGCACCACGGUCGGCGCGGUGACAGACUGGCCGAGAUCUACUUGGCCUUAACUCGGUGGAGAAGAGGCGGCGAACGUCAAGCUUCCGGUGUCAGUCACCAUUAAAGUUAAAGUUAAAGUUAGUCGAGUGUGUUAGGUAAUAACAUUUAACGAGUGAAACAUUGGAGCAUUGAGGUGAAGAUUGACCCCGU